rnacentral:rRNA from 1 species
AUUGAACGCUGGCGGCAUGCCUUACACAUGCAAGUCGAACGGUAACAGGUCUUCGGAUGCUGACGAGUGGCGCACGGGUGAGUAAUACAUCGGAACGUGCCCAGACGUGGGGGAUAACGAGGCGAAAGCUUUGCUAAUACCGCAUACGAUCUAAGGAUGAAAGCAGGGGACCGCAAGGCCUUGUGCGUUUGGAGCGGCCGAUGGCAGAUUAGGUAGUUGGUGGGAUAAAAGCUUACCAAGCCGACGAUCUGUAGCUGGUCUGAGAGGACGACCAGCCACACUGGAACUGAGAAACGGGGCUGAGUCCGACGGGAGGCAGCAGUGGGGGAGAGUGGACAGUGGGCGAAAGCCUGAUCCAGCCGUGGAGCGUGGGGGAAGAAGGUCUUCGGAUGGUAAAGCACUAUAAGGUGGGAGGAAGGGCAGUAAGUUAAUACCUAGCUGGUAUGACGUGACAAAAAGAAGAAGCACCGGCUAAAUUCGGG